GUUGAUUUCACACUGCCGAGAAAAGCCUCUAGAUAGAAAAUAGGUGCCCGUACCGCAAACCGACACAGGUAGUCAAGAUGAGAAUUCUAAGGUGAGCGAGCGAACUCUCGUUAAGGAACUCGGCAAAAUGACCCCGUAACUUCGGGAGAAGGGGUGCUCUUUAGGGUUAACGCCCAGAAGAGCCGCAGUGAAUAGGCCCAAGCGACUGUUUAUCAAAAACACAGGUCUCUGCUAAACCGUAAGGUGAUGUAUAGGGGCUGACGCCUGCCCGGUGCUGGAAGGUUAAGAGGAGUGGUUAGCUUCUGCGAAGCUACGAAUCGAAGCCCCAGUAAACGGCGGCCGUAACUAUAACGGUCCUAAGGUAGCGAAAUUCCUUGUCGGGUAAGUUCCGACCCGCACGAAAGGCGUAACGAUUUGGGCACUGUCUCAACGAGAGACUCGGUGAAAUCAUAGUACCUGUGAAGAUGCAGGUUACCCGCGACAGGACGGAAAGACCCCGUGGAGCUUUACUGUAGCCUGAUAUUGAAAUUCGGCACAGCUUGUACAGGAUAGGUAGGAGCCUUUGAAACGUGAGCGCUAGCUUACGUGGAGGCGCUGGUGGGAUACUACCCUAGCUGUGUUGGCUUUCUAACCCGCACCACUUAUCGUGGUGGGAGACAGUGUCAAGCGGGCAGUUUGACUGGGGCGGUCGCCUCCUAAAAGGUAACGGAGGCGCUCAAAGGUUCCCUCAGAAUGGUUGGAAAUCAUUCAUAGAGUGUAAAGGCAUAAGGGAGCUUGACUGCGAGACCUACAAGUCGAGCAGGGUCGAAAGACGGACUUAGUGAUCCGGUGGUUCCGCAUGGAAGGGCCAUCGCUCAACGGAUAAAAGCUACCCCGGGGAUAACAGGCUUAUCUCCCCCAAGAGUUCACAUCGACGGGGAGGUUUGGCACCUCGAUGUCGGCUCAUCGCAUCCUGGGGCUGUAGUCGGUCCCAAGGGUUGGGCUGUUCGCCCAUUAAAGCGGUACGCGAGCUGGGUUCAGAACGUCGUGAGACAGUUCGGUCCCUAUCCGUCGUGGGCGUAGGAAAUUUGAGAGGAGCUGUCCUUAGUACGAGAGGACCGGGAUGGACAUACCUCUGGUGUACCAGUUGUCGUGCCAACGGCAUAGCUGGGUAGCUAUGUGUGGACGGGAUAAGUGCUGAAAGCAUCUAAGCAUGAAGCCCCCCUCAAGAUGAGAUUUCCCAACUUCGGUUAUAAGAUCCCUCAAAGAUGAUGAGGUUAAUAGGUUCGAGGUGGAAGCAUGGUGACAUGUGGAGCUGACGAAUACUAAUCGAUCGAAGACUUAAUCAA
rnacentral:rRNA from 1 species